GAACGCUGGCGGCAGGCUUAACACAUGCAAGUCGAACGCCCCUUCGGGGGAGUGGCAGACGGGUGAGUAACGCGUGGGAAUCUACCCAGCUCUACGGAAUAACUGAGGGAAACUUCAGCUAAUACCGUAUACGUCCUUCGGGAGAAAGAUUUAUCGGAGUUGGAUGAGCCCGCGUUGGAUUAGCUAGUUGGUGGGGUAAAGGCCUACCAAGGCGACGAUCCAUAGCUGGUCUGAGAGGAUGAUCAGCCACAUCGGGACUGAGACACGGCCCGAACUCCUACGGGAGGCAGCAGUGGGGAAUAUUGCGCAAUGGGGGAAACCCUGACGCAGCAAUGCCGCGUGAGUGAGGAAGGGUUUCGGCUCGUAAAGCUCUGUCAGAUGGGAAUAAUGGUCAAGGGUCUAAUAGGCCUUUGAUUUGAAGGUACCUUCAAAGGAAGCACCGGCUAACUUCGUGCCAGCAGCCGCGGUAAUACGAAGGGUGCAAGCGUUAUUCGGAUUUACUGGGCGUAAAGCGCGCGCAGGCGGUCCUUUAAGUCUACCCGUGAAAUGCCGGAGCUCAACUCCGUGCACGCCGGGGGAUACUGGAGGACUGGAGACGAGUAGAGGCA
rnacentral:rRNA from 18 species